rnacentral:lncRNA from 1 species
GGCGUCCUGAUUGUCAGGCGGUGGGCGCAGCUUUGCCAGAACAGGAGCACAGUGUUUCUGCAGAACAGAAAAAAAGCCAGGUGGGAUCUCGCUACGUUGUCCAGGCUGGCCUCAUACUCCUAGGCUCCCAGAGUGCUGGGAUUACAGGCAGAAGCCAUCAUGCCCAGCCCCCUUAUUUCUUACUCAGUCUAAUCUCAGUCUUUCCAUCUGUAAAAUAGUAUCAGACUCUGCAAUGUCCUCUGAAAACAUGAGGCAAAGAUGGGAGUAAGUGAAUAAAAUAUGCCAUAUGCUUGCUAAA